rnacentral:rRNA from 1 species
CCUACGGGAGGCAGCAGUGAGGAAUAUUGGUCAAUGGACGAGAGUCUGAACCAGCCAAGUAGCGUGAAGGAUGACUGCCCUAUGGGUUGUAAACUUCUUUUAUAUGGGAAUAAAAUGUUCCACGUGUGGGAUUUUGUAUGUACCAUAUGAAUAAGGAUCGGCUAACUCCGUGCCAGCAGCCGCGGUAAUACGGAGGAUCCGAGCGUUAUCCGGAUUGAUUGGGUUUAAAGGGAGCGUAGGUGGAUUGUUAAGUCAGUUGUGAAAGUUUGCGGCUCAACCGUAAAAUUGCAGUUGAAACUGGCAGUCUUGAGGACAGUAGAGGUGGGCGGAAUUCGUGGUGUAGCGGUGAAAUGCUUAGAUAUCACGAAGAACUCCGAUUGCGAAGGCAGCUCACUGGACUGCAACUGACACUGAGGCUCGAAAGUGUGGGUAUCAAACAGGAUUAGAUACCCGAGUAGUC